GGUUGAAUUGCUAGAUCAUAUGGUAAGUCUAUGUUUAACUUUUUGAAAAACUGCCAAACUAUUUUGCAGAGUGGCUGAACCAUUUUACAUUCCCAUCAGCAAU
rnacentral:pre_miRNA from 1 species